rnacentral:rRNA from 1 species
CGGGGGCACGGGGGGCCUACGGGGAGGCAGCAGUCGGGGAAUUUUGGGCAAUGGGCGGAAAGCCUGACCCAGCAACGCCGCGUGAAGGAUGAAAUCCUUCGGGAUGUAAACUUCGUAAGAACAGGAAGAAUAAGUAAGAGUCAAUAUCUCUUACGAUGACGGUACUGUUUGUAAGCUCCGGCUAACUCCGUGCC